UACGUAGGGAGCAAGCGUUGUCCGGAAUCAUUGGGCGUAAAGCGCGCGUAGGUGGCCCCGUAAGUCCGCUGUGAAAGUCAAAGGCUCAACCUUUGAAAGCCGGUGGAUACUGUCGGGCUAGAGUACGGAAGAGGCGAGUGGAAUUCCUGGUGUAGCGGUGAAAUGCGCAGAUAUCAGGAGGAACACCAAUGGCGAAGGCAGCUCGCUGGGACGAUACUGACGCUGAGACGCGAAAGCGUGGGGAGCAAACAGG
rnacentral:rRNA from 1 species